UACGGAGGGGGCUAGCGUUGUUCGGAAUUACUGGGCGUAAAGCGCACGUAGGCGGCUUUGCAAGUUAGAGGUGAAAGCCCAGGGCUCAACCCUGGAAUUGCCUUUAAAACUGCGUCGCUAGAAUUGUGGAGAGGUAAGUGGAAUUCCGAGUGUAGAGGUGAAAUUCGUAGAUAUUCGGAAGAACACCAGUGGCGAAGGCGACUUACUGGACACAUAUUGACGCUGAGGUGCGAAAGCGUGGGGAGCAAACAGG
rnacentral:rRNA from 1 species